UUGAAUAAUUAAUUUAAAAAAGAAAAAUAAGGUCAAAGAUUGUUGCAUAAAAUUAAAUGGCCAACUGCAAAUUGACUUUGUGUCAAGGGGUUAAUAAUUGAAUCUAUCUUUCUAAGUACCCAUAAGAAACAAGAGGACGUAGAAAUUGAUUCGACAGAAGAAAGGAAGAUUUUUCUGUCUCUUGGGACAAUUGACACUUGCGAAUCUCCAGAAGAACGAAAGGGGGAUGAAAAUUGAAACAGGGCACAGUGCGUCAUCCUCUCACGCCAACCAAUAAGACGCAUAUUCUCACGCGUGCGUUCGUUAAUUACAAUUAUUAAGGCUACUUCAAGCGGUUACAAUACGGUAAUAAUUAUCGACAAACGUUUGUUACUUUUUUUUUUUUUUCACUCGAUCAUCGCUCUAUCAUCGUUACUCUACUAUAAUUUCUUGUAUAUAUAGUAUGUAUAUCGAUGAUGCUUCCAGUGUAGUGUCGCAAUUAGUAAUGGUAAUUUAGUAAUGGUAAUAAUAGUAAUUAGUAGCAAUAUAGUAAUAAUAAUAAUAAUAGUAAUAGUAAUAAUAAUAACGUUUAUCAUUAUUAUCCUCACUGUUCCUCGUUAACUGUUGUCUGUAUGUAGUAGGUUACAUAAUAGAUCUGCGCGGGUUCCAUCGAUACUUAAUUUUUUUUUCUUAUCACCCUACUUCAUUUUAUUUUUUAUUUUUCUUUUGCAAAUUUCUCUCUGUAUUUCGCGAACAAACAUUGUAAGAUUCAGAGAGAUGUUACACACGACCACGAACGAUUCAAGCAAUAAGAGAAACUUUUGUAAUGUUUCUUUUAUGGUUUCUCCUUGUGCUUUUUUUUGGGAGUGGUCCGAUUUUGUUUUAUUGUGUUCUGUUCUGUUUGUUCAUGAUUCUGACCAAUCUUGCUCCAUGGGAUCGAUAUCCGUCGACAGAGGUCGGGUUCUUUUUUUUUUUAUUUUCUCUGAUUGUUCGAUUCGAAUGGACGGCGAGUUUUUGCGUUUCCCAAGACGAAUAUAUGGAGAAUAAAUAAGAAUUGUCGUAGGAAUGUAAUAAAUCUGGGUGGUUGAAGAAUAGAGGACAUUGAAAAAGUGGGAAAAUAGUCUUGAGCGAAGGUUUUUAACAAAUUGAUAUCUUUUCAAUAGGAAAGUAAAAUAUGGAAGGUAACCGCAAGAAAGGACUUAUAAGAAAUUUUUUUCACGCCUCGUCUACUUAUUCACUGUUACACGAAGGGUCAACGAGAAACGAAUAGGUGUGCAAGCGACAAAUAUGGGGUCAAAGAAUGAAAGUUCUCAAAUAAAUUGAAUCCGAGGAGCGCUGAAGUGGCGAGUGUCAGCGACGCGACGGACAGAAAGCUGACUAGAAGAAAUUCCAGCGAAAAGAUGUGGAUCUGCGGCUGUGUAAGGGUCCCAUGAAAAAUUAUUCUCCCCAUGAGUAAUGAGCCAUAUCAAAAAGCGAUUGAUCAACGACAGCUAUCGACAGGUCAGCAUCCAGUCAGCAACAAAAUGGCCAGAUUCAAUGGUAAACGCGCGAUGCAACGUUCCUCCGACCUUGUUGUUCGCGUUAGAUGGAUCCCGGUG